CUAGUCUGUCUUGAAUCUGUGUACAAACUUCUCCAGGCCCUCUUUGCAGUCCUCCACCACCCUCUUCGACUUAUCCCCAAUGGUUGAACCAAACACGUAGACAUUGUCCUGUGCUUCGGAUGACAACUUCUUUGCCUUCAAAGCUGCAGCAGCCCCUAGAUCUGUAAAUCGCUGCGUUGCUUCUUCUGCUCCCUGCUUUAGAAUUGAGAUGAAAGACCUCACAUGCUGUAUUACUCUCUCCAGGGAAUGGCAAGACCGGACUUUUAUCUCAGCAGACAUUGACUUCAGCUUCUCCAGCAAAGACCCAGCUCGGUUAAUUGCUUCGUCAACUUGAUGUUCUUUGCCAGCAUUGGCCCAUGUGACUCCAGCUGAUGCAUCAUCUUCAAGCCCUCCUUCAACAACAACCUUGAUUCCAUGACGCUCCCAUUGGUUCCGGGCUUCCUCAAGGGCCCUGGCAUGCUCCCUGGCCUUCUUUGCUUCAUCCUCUGCCCAAGCCCUGGUUAAAGAUGCGCAUCCUUCCUCUCAACUUCAAGUUCAUAUUGAAGCUGCACAACAGCCUGUCUGUCAUUCUCUAUUUCCGUUUGGAGUUUCUCAAUCCUAUUCUUCUCAAACGAGAUCUCCACCUUCUUGCUCAGCACACUUUGCAGCUGUUCCUCUACUUCACUCCUCAAUUUUGAGAGAACUUCCAUUUCAGAUUCAACAGAAGCUCUGCCCCUAAUCAGAGCAUUAUUUUCUUCCACUCUUUCUGCUCUCAACUUGUCCAAUUCAACCCUAGCUUCUUCAGCUAACUUUUCAAGUCUCUCUAUUUUUUCUCUUUCCUUUGUAAGCUCUCUCUCAAAAGUGGCAUUCAGAUCUUUCUCAACCUGAGCAACGAGUUCACCAUGUGCAUUUACAGCAUCUUCAGCUAUUUUCUCUGCUUCAAUACGAGCAAGCUCCUCCAUAACCACAUCAGCAGAAUCACCAGUUGAAAGUGCAAGAGCCACUUGUCCUUUCGUCACGGGUUUAUCCGGCUGGAAGAGCCUUGUAAAACCUUUGAAAAGAGCUUACUGUAAUGCUCUGGUCUCCAGCAUCCAAGUCAGCCACCAAAGCGGGCCAAGCAGCUGCAUUUAUUUUAUCAACGUCCAUAUAUCCAGAAGCUUUGUACAUAGACUGCCCACAGAAAGUAAUUGCCUUUUAUCCAAAGCCAUCUUCCAACUCACGAGGUCUUGACGUGACACAGGACU
rnacentral:sRNA from 1 species